UUGAACGCUGGCGGCAGGCCUAACACAUGCAAGUCGAGCGGAUGAAGGGAGCUUGCUCCUGGAUUCAGCGGCGGACGGGUGAGUAAUGCCUAGGAAUCUGCCUGGUAGUGGGGGAUAACGUCCGGAAACGGGCGCUAAUACCGCAUACGUCCUAAGGGAGAAAGUGGGGGAUCUUCGGACCUCACGCUAUCAGAUGAGCCUAGGUCGGAUUAGCUAGUUGGUGGGGUAAAGGCCUACCAAGGCGACGAUCCGUAACUGGUCUGAGAGGAUGAUCAGUCACACUGGAACUGAGACACGGUCCAGACUCCUACGGGAGGCAGCAGUGGGGAAUAUUGGACAAUGGGCGAAAGCCUGAUCCAGCCAUGCCGCGUGUGUGAAGAAGGUCUUCGGAUUGUAAAGCACUUUAAGUUGGGAGGAAGGGCAGUAAGUUAAUACCUUGCUGUUUUGACGUUACCAACAGAAUAAGCACCGGCUAACUUCGUG
rnacentral:rRNA from 1 species